rnacentral:rRNA from 1 species
UGCGGAGGAUCAUUAUCGUAAACCGAGGUGCGAGGGCUGUCGCUGACCUUUUCGGUCGUGCACGCCCGAGUGCUCUCACACAAUCCAUCUCACCCCUUGUGCACCACCGCGUGGGUCCCUCUCUGGCUCGUCCGGAGGGGGGCUCGCGUUUUCACACAAACUUGAAGUAGUGUAGAAUGUCCUUUUUUGCGAUAACACGCAAUCAAUACAACUUUCAACAACGGAUCUCUUGGCUCUCGCAUCGAUGAAGAACGCAGCGAAAUGCGAUACGUAAUGUGAAUUGCAGAAUUCAGUGAAUCAUCGAAUCUUUGAACGCACCUUGCGCCCCUUGGCAUUCCGAGGGGCACACCCGUUUGAGUGUCGUGAAAUUCUCAAAACCCUUUCUUUUGGUCAUUUUUGACCAUGGAAAGGAUUUUGGACUUGGAGGCCUUUUUGCUGGUUUCAACCUUGAAGCGAGCUCCUCCCAAAUGUAUUAGUGGGGUCUGCAUUGUCGGUCCUUGGCGUGAUAAGUUGUUUCUACGUCUUGGAUUUUUGGCGCUGUACACCUGCUUCUAACCGUCUCAUUGACAACGAUGGUGUUCCGGUCGCCGCCGAUUUUCGGUGGAGGCUUGACCCCACGAAACAAA